CUGAGUGUUUCCUCUAUCAAUUCCUUCCUGCUACUCAUUAUUUGUUCCUAACUUUUUGAAUCAGAACCUUGAUCCAUUUAAUUUCAUCCUAUCAAUUUGACUGAAAAAAAUAUCCAACACUGCAAAUCCUCUUCAACACUGUCUUAACUGAAUCUCAUAUAUUUCUGCACAUAUGUGUACUAAUUUUGAAAUCUAAAAACUCUCCAGUAAUACAUGUUGUGUCCUAGACAUUGAUCUUAACACUUUAUGGGUAUUAACUCAUAGAACUAUUGGACCAGGCACAUGAGGUAGACGUCAUUUCUUUUUUAAGUUGAGGAAUCUGUCAUCAACAAGUAAUUUUCAAGGCCACACAUGCUGGUAAGAGAUGGAACUAAGUUUCAAACUCAGGCUGUCUGACCCAGAGUUCAUACUGUUAUUGAUUCUGAUUUCUGACAACUUGGCUUUUUCUGGCUUUUGUUUCUCUCUAAUUCAAUAGACAAUUUUUAACUUUGAGAAAAGUCCUUCCAGAUUCUCUGAUUUUUAAAUGUAUUCCUAGUCUUAUUGCACUGUAUUUUAGAAUGUUCACAGUUUUUUUACUUUGGUUUAAAAAUGUAUUUAUGUUUUCUUCCCACCCUAAUAUAUUGUCAAAUUUGAUCCUCUGGCACUUGAAAAAAGCAAGUAUCUUUAUUGCCAAGUACAUAAAUUCCACCUUAUUGUUAAUGUAAAUUAUUUAUAUCUUUAUGUUUGUCCAUUUGUUUUUUUGUUUGGACUGAGAUGAAUUAGAUUCUACUUUUAAUGUUUGUUUCAACAUGUAUUUUAUCUAGUAUAAUGUAUCCAAGCUGCAUGAAUGUUCAUGAUAGCUUUAUUUUCAGUGUGAACUUUAG
rnacentral:lncRNA from 1 species